GACGAACGCUGGCGGCGUGCUUAACACAUGCAAGUCGAACGGAAAGGCCCUGCUUUUGUGGGGUGCUCGAGUGGCGAACGGGUGAGUAACACGUGAGUAACCUGCCCUUGACUUUGGGAUAACUUCAGGAAACUGGGGCUAAUACCGGAUAGGAGCUCCUGCUGCAUGGUGGGGGUUGGAAAGUUUCGGCGGUUGGGGAUGGACUCGCGGCUUAUCAGCUUGUUGGUGGGGUAGUGGCUUACCAAGGCUUUGACGGGUAGCCGGCCUGAGAGGGUGACCGGGCCACGUGGGGAUGGGGUUACGGCCCGAACUCCACGGGGGGGAGGAGUGGGGAAUAUUGCACAAUGGGCGGAAGCCUGAUGCAGCAACGCCGCGUGCGGGAUGACGGCCUUCGGGUUGUAAACCGCUUUCGCCUGUGACGAAGCGUGAGUGACGGUAAUGGGUAAAGAAGCACCGGCUAACUACGUG
rnacentral:rRNA from 1 species